GGUGGGGCUGAUGACUGGGGUGAAGUCGUAACAAGGUAUCCGUACCGGAGGGUGCGGAUGGAUCACCUCCUAACAGGGAGACAACACAAUGAUUUUGAUGCCUGAGUGCUUUUAUUCUUAGGCCGAAAUCCUGUCACCUUAGGUCGAUCGGUACCUCAGCUUUGAAGUUAAGAAUCAGCAGCAAUGUUGAUUGCUUGAUGGAGAUUUUCAGUUCCUAAACUUUGUCUAGGUCACACCCCAAAAGGGAUGAGACUCCUGGGCCAUUAGCUCAGGUGGUUAGAGCGCACCCCUGAUAAGGGUGAGGUCCCUGGUUCAAGUCCAGGAUGGCCCAUUCGGUGUUGGGGGUUUAGCUCAGUUGGUAGAGCGCCUGCUUUGCAAGCAGGAUGUCAGGAGUUCGAGUCUCCUAACCUCCACUGACCGAACUUGAUUCCCAUCUCCAAUUUUGGAGUUGAGCUCGAUUGGAGUGUGAUUUAGAUGUGUCCGCUGGAUGACCCCAGCUUCCUGUCAUUCCAAGUUUUAGGUUGAAGCCUUGAAUUUGGUUGAUAAGAUGCUGGGCUCGGAUCAAAUGAUCAAGCAAUUGAUGAUUUGAUUUGAAGUUCUAGCAGAACCUUGACAACUGCAUAGGUGAGUCUGGAAAAAACUAAGCAUCUUACAGAUGCAUUGUUUUGAAUCUGAUCUUCUGAAAGGGAGAUUGGAUCUAGA
rnacentral:misc_RNA from 1 species